CCUACGGGAGGCAGCAGUGGGGAAUAUUGGACAAUGGGGGGAACCCUGAUCCAGCCAUGCCGCGUGUGUGAAGAAGGCCCUCGGGUUGUAAAGCACUUUCAGUGAGGAAGAACGCCUGGUGGUUAAUACCCAUCAGGAAAGACAUCACUCACAGAAGAAGCACCGGCUAACUCCGUGCCAGCAGCCGCGGUAAUACGGAGGGUGCGAGCGUUAAUCGGAAUUACUGGGCGUAAAGCGCGCGUAGGUGGCUUGAUAAGCCGGUUGUGAAAGCCCCGGGCUCAACCUGGGAACGGCAUCCGGAACUGUCAAGCUAGAGUGCAGGAGAGGAAGGUAGAAUUCCCGGUGUAGAGGUGAAAUGCGUAGAGAUCGGGAGGAAUACCAGUGGCGAAGGAGGCCUUCUGGACUGACACUGACACUGAGGUGCGAAAGCGUGGGUAGCAAACAGGAUUAGAUACCCUAGUAGUC
rnacentral:rRNA from 1 species